AGGGCGCAUGGUGGAUGCCUUGGUACUAGGAGCCGAUGAAGGACGGGACUAACACCGAUAUGCCUCGGGGAGCUGUAAGUAAGCUUUGAUCCGGGGAUUUCCGAAUGGGGCAACCCAAUAGUUUUAAUCGACUAUUAUCCGCAUCUGAAUUCAUAGGAUGUGUGAAGGUAAACGUGGGGAACUGAAACAUCUCAGUACCCACAGGAACAGAAAGAAAAUUCGAUUCCCUGAGUAGCGGCGAGCGAAACGGGAACAGCCCAAACCAAGAAGCUUGCUUCUUGGGGUUGUAGGACUGAACAUUUGAGUUACCAAAGAGCUUGAUAGCUGAAGGGCCUGGGAAGGCCAGCCAGAGAGGGUGACAGCCCCGUAAGUUAAAUCAAACUCCCUCAGUUCAGGAUCCUGAGUACGGCGGAGCACGUGAAAUUCCGUCGGAAUCCGGGAGGACCAUCUCCCAAGGCUAAAUACUACCUAGUGACCGAUAGUGAACCAGUACCGUGAGGGAAAGGUGAAAAGCACCCCGGAAGGGGAGUGAAAUAGUUCUUGAAACCAUGUGCCUACAAGAAGUCAGAGCCCGUUAAUGGGUGAUGGCGUGCCUUUUGUAGAAUGAACCGGCGAGUUACGUUCGUAUGCCAGGUUAAGUUGAAGAGACGGAGCCGAAGCGAAAGCGAGUCUGAAGAGGGCGAAUUAGUAUGCGGAUGUAGACCCGAAACCAAGUGACCUACCCAUGUCCAGGUUGAAGGUGCGGUAAAACGCACUGGAGGACCGAACUCGUGUACGUUGAAAAGUGCUGAGAUGAGGUGUGGGUAGCGGUGAAAUUCCAAACGAACUUGGAGAUAGCUGGUUCUCUCCGAAAUAGCUUUAGGGCUAGCCUCGGAAUUAGGAUCGUGGAGGUAGAGCCACUGUUUGGACUAGGGGCCCGUCAUGGGUUACCGAAUUCAGAUAAACUCCGAAUGCCAUCGAUUUAUGUCCGGGAGUCAGACGGUGAGUGAUAAGAUCCAUCGUCGAAAGGGGAACAGCCCAGACCACCAGUUAAGGUCCCUAAAUAUAUGUUAAGUGGAAAAGGAUGUGGAGUUGCAUAGACAACUAGGAUGUUGGCUCAGAAGCAGCCACCAUUUAAAGAGUGCGUAAUAGCUCACUAGUCGAGUGAUCCUGCGCCGAAAAUGUACCGGGGCUUAAACAUAUUACCGAGACUGUGGAUGCCACCAUUAGGUGGCGUGAUAGGAGAGCGUUCUAAGGGCGACGAAGGCAGACCGUGAGGACUGUUGGAGCGCUUAGAAGUGAGAAUGCCGGUAUGAGUAGCGAAAGAUAGGUGAGAAUCCUAUCCACCGUAUGACUAAGGUUUCCUGGGGAAGGCUCGUCCUCCCAGGGUUAGUCGGGACCUAAGCCGAGGCCGAGAGGCGUAGGCGAUGGAUAACAGGUUGAGAUUCCUGUACUAGUUAAACUUGUUUGAACAAUGGAGGGACGCAGGAGGCUAAGGAAUGCACCCGAUUGGAAGUGGGUGUCCAAGCCGUAAGUCUGAAGUCGAGUCAAAUGCUUGAUUUCUUAAGGACAAGCGGUGAUGGGGAGUGAAAUUUAAGUAACGAAGUUCCUGACGUCACGCUGCCGAGAAAAGCUUCUAGUUAGAGUUUAACUACCCGUACCGCAAACCGACACAGGUAGUCGAGGAGAGUAUCCUAAGGUGAGCGAGAGAAUCUCGGUUAAGGAACUCGGCAAAAUGACCCCGUAACUUCGGGAGAAGGGGUGCUGAUCGCAAGAUCAGCCGCAGUGAAAAGGCCCAGGCGACUGUUUAUCAAAAACACAGGUUUCUGCAAAAUCGUAAGAUGACGUAUAGGGGCUGACGCCUGCCCGGUGCUGGAAGGUUAAGGGGAUGAGUUAGCGUAAGCGAAGCUUUGAACUGAAGCCCCAGUAAACGGCGGCCGUAACUAUAACGGUCCUAAGGUAGCGAAAUUCCUUGUCGGGUAAGUUCCGACCCGCACGAAAGGCGUAACGAUCUGGGCACUGUCUCAACGAGAGACUCGGUGAAAUUAUAAUACCCGUGAAGAUGCGGGUUACCCGCGACAGGACGGAAAGACCCCAUGGAGCUUUACUGUAACUUGAUAUUGAGUGUUUGUACAGCUUGUACAGGAUAGGUCGGAGCCGUAGAAGCCGGAACGCUAGUUUCGGAGGAGGCGCAAGUGGGAUACUACCCUCGUUGUAUGAACCCUCUAACCCGCGCCACUAAUCGUGGCGGGGACAGUGUCUGGUGGGCAGUUUGACUGGGGCGGUCGCCUCCUAAAAGGUAACGGAGGCGCCCAAAGGUUCCCUCAGAAUGGUUGGAAAUCAUUCGCAGAGUGUAAAGGCAGAAGGGAGCUUGACUGCGAGACAGACAGGUCGAGCAGGGACGAAAGUCGGGCUUAGUGAUCCGGUGGUUCCGU
rnacentral:rRNA from 1 species